UACGAAGGGGGCUAGCGUUGUUCGGAAUUACUGGGCGUAAAGCGCGCGCAGGCGGCUCUUCAAGUCAGGGGUGAAAGCCCAGAGCUCAACUCUGGAACUGCCUUUGAGACUGAAAAGCUUGAGUACGGGAGAGGUGAGUGGAAUUCCCGAGUGUAGAGGUGAAAUUCGUAGAUAUUGGGAAGAACACCGGUGGCGAAGGCGGCUCACUGGCCCGU
rnacentral:rRNA from 1 species